AAUGCUCUACUGAGAAACCCCAUCAUACCUGGUAAUCAAUGGAUCAAAUGCAAGAGAUCUCAAGUCCAUGUAGUACUGUGCUGUCUCUCUCAAAGCUGCCCAUGAUUCGCUAACCUGGAGUAGAUCAAAACAGAAAAAAAGUAUUCUGAGCUUUGAUACUGAUUAAAUAGCGUGUGACUAUUGAGCAACCUUGCUUGGACUGAUAAAUCAGACUUCCAUCCUUCCCCAAAGGUUUCUCUGCUACGUGACAGUCCAAGACCUGCACUUUGGAUUUUGUUAUUGUUUAUUUGUUUUUGUUGUUGUUUUCAAUAGAUGCUGCAAGAUGGUGGAAGAAAUACCUGUUCAAUCACAGCAUAUCCCCACGUAUUUUGGCUGCUGCUUGGGUCCCAGUAGUUCCCAGAAUACGCUGGAUCAGUCUUUGCAGGGCUUGUCCCUAGCUG
rnacentral:lncRNA from 1 species